AUACGGAGGGGGCUAGCGUUGUUCGGAAUUACUGGGCGUAAAGCGCGCGUAGGCGGAUCGUUAAGUCAGGGGUGAAAGCCCGGAGCCCAACUCCGGAACUGCCCUUGAUACUGGCGAUCUCGAGUCCGGGAGAGGUGAGCGGAAUUCCUAGUGUAGAGGUGAAAUUCGUAGAUAUUAGGAGGAACACCAGUGGCGAAGGCGGCUCACUGGCCCGGUACUGACGCUGAGGUGCGAAAGCGUGGGGAGCAAACGGGAUUAGAAACCCUAGUAGUCC
rnacentral:rRNA from 1 species